AGAGUUUGAUCCUGGCUCAGGGUGAACGCUGGCAGCGUGGAUAAGGCAUGCAAGUCGAGUGGGUUUAGACCCACGGCAAACGGGUUAGUAACACGUAGGGAAUCUACCCCCGCCUCGAGCAUAACCCUCCGAAAGGAGGGCUAAUUCUCGAUGGUCUCACAUAACGAAAGUUAUAUGAGUAAAGAAUUUCGGGUGGGGAAGAUCCUGCGUCCUAUCAGCUAGUUGGUAAGGUAAUGGCUUACCAAGGCUAUGACGGGUAGGGGGUGUGAGAGCACGACCCCCAACACUGGGACUGCGACACUGCCCAGACACCUACGGGUGGCUGCAGUCGAGAAUCUUCGUCAAUGGGCGAAAGCCUGAACGAGCGACGCUGCGUGGAGGAAGAAGGCCUUCGGGUUGUAAACUCCUGUCGUGUGGGAAGAACUUGACGUACCACACAAG
rnacentral:rRNA from 1 species